AGAAUCACACUUAAAUCUAAGAAACUCUGACUUUUUUACGGAUUCCAAAAACUAGCGUAAGUUUAGCACUGUUUAAAAAAAUCGGAGACCUAAUAAGUAAUCAACUAUCACAGGUUAAUCAUAGUUGACACAUUCAAGUGAAGCCUUUUGCAAGAAACACGCAUCCCAUUAGAUAGGAUACUAACACACUCAACUUGAGUUAUGGAUGUUAAUUUGUCGCUGACUUUAAGAAAGAUUUUUCAACUUACAUUGUUCAUGCUGAUAAAAAAAGAGUUAUAUAAGUAAUGAAGGGUUUAGGUAACUAAAGAUGUUUCAAAUAUAUAUUUCAUAUCUGCAUGUAUACGUUCCCUGUAUAAUUUCAUCGAUCUUUUUCAAAUUGUUGAACAUUUCUUUGAUAUAGAGUGAGACAAAGAGAAUUUUUUUUUUUUUUUGGUCACCGACAAAGAAAUUAUAAACUUAGAUUUAAUAAUAGUAAAAAUUUGAUGUAGCUUUUACAUUGACAAAGAACCACUAUAAAUCCAAUGUACGUAGCUCUUACAUUGAUAAUGAACCACAAUAAGUAUGUCAUUUCUCUUGUUUAAGAAAAUUGGAUCUGAGAUUCAAAUCUUUAUAACCGGUGAAUAAAUGCGAGUAAAAACAAUCUCUCCGCCGGUGGGAGAUAACAUGUGGGUAUAAGCUCUAAUCAUAUCUCUUAUAUAUUAAAAGAGAAGCAUUGUAAUAAAUACAUUCACACUCUAAUAGACACGUGGCAGCCUUACAAUGAUUUGAUAAUAAAUAUACUAAUGUGUUCACACUAUAUUCAUAAAUGUGUUCAUACUAUAUAUUUUGCGUUUUUUUUAAAU
rnacentral:lncRNA from 1 species